AUUGAACGCUGGCGGCAGGCCUAACACAUGCAAGUCGAACGGUAACAGGAAACAGCUUGCUGUUUCGCUGACGAGUGGCGGACGGGUGAGUAAUGUCUGGGAAACUGCCUGAUGGAGGGGGAUAACUACUGGAAACGGUAGCUAAUACCGCAUAACGUCGCAAGACCAAAGAGGGGGACCUUCGGGCCUCUUGCCAUCGGAUGUGCCCAGAUGGGAUUAGCUAGUAGGUGGGGUAACGGCUCACCUAGGCGACGAUCCCUAGCUGGUCUGAGAGGAUGACCAGCCGAACUGGAACUGAGGCACGGUCCAGACUCCUACGGGAGGCAGCGGUGGGGAAUAUUGCACAAUGGGCGCAAGCCUGAUGCAGCCAUGCCGCGUGUAUGAAGAAGGCCUUCGGGUUGUAAAGUACUUUCAGCGGGGAGGAAGGGAGUAAAGUCAAUACCUUUGCUCAUUGACGUUACCCGCAGAAGAAGCACCGGCUAACUCCGUGCCAGCCGCCGCCGUAA
rnacentral:rRNA from 1 species